UCCGAGUUGACCCCGGCAGUCUCCUACGAGUCCCCGGCAUUACCCGCUGGCGACAUAGGACGAGGGUUGCGCUCGUUGCGGGACUUAACCCAACAUCUCACGACACGAGCUGACGACAACCAUGCACCACCUGUGAACCAGCCCCAAAGGGGAAGGACUGUUUCCAGCCCGGUCCGGUCCAUGUCAAGCCUUGGUAAGGUUCUUCGCGUUGCAUCGAAUUAAUCCGCAUGCUCCGCCGCUUGUGCGGGCCCCCGUCAAUUCCUUUGGGUUUCAGCCUUGCGGCCGUACUCCCCAGGCGGGGCACUUAAUGCGUUAGCUACGGCACGGAAUCCGUGGAAACAGAUCCCACACCUAGCGCCCAACGUUUACGGUGUGGACUAC
rnacentral:misc_RNA from 1 species